CUUUGCCAUAAAAGGCACUUGUGGUGUCACACCCAGAUAAUGUGUGAAUUUCUUAUCAAGGCUGAGCACACACUGGUUCCAAGAGCUGAUGACACCUUGGUAAUGUCAAUGAUACGUGUCCUGUUGCCACUGGGGGAACUCACGAGUCAGCCUCCUCUUCAACAUAUCCUGUCUGCAAUACAACAAAACAUUGACAAUUAAGAGUCACAGGAGUAUCAUGAAAAGCAGAGAGUGGUGGAGGUGGUACAAGACAUUACAGGCUAGAACCUAUCUGCCAUACAGCACAUUUAACAGCAAAGAUGCCCAAGAAAGGCACACAAGAUCACAAACCACACCACACACACACAUCAGCUGUUCUCUUGGUUGCCAACUGGCACAUGUAUGUGCAACAGCAGACUUAAAAACAGUUUCUCAUGCCUGUCACACACAGGUUGUGUAAAGCUGGACUUGCACAUGACAAAUAAUAAGACUUGAAGAAAAAUGCAUUGCAGUUACCUGUAGUUUGAAGCAUCAAGACCUUCAUUUGCUUUCACCAGUUCAAUGAAGGCCUUCCUCAGCUGGUCCAUUCUGAGCACCUCUUGGUUGACAAGCAGCCUUUGGCGAAUGAUCCGCUCACAAAAUAUCUUAAAGCUGACAUCGAACAUGGGCUCAUUCCUAAAACACAUAUGAAUGAGAAGUAAAGAAAUGAAUAAGUUUUGUGAUUGUGUGCACAUACAACAGAAUGCAGAUGAAAUGUUUACUUAUAUAAUGUUAAGUUAGUAGCUCCUUGAAAUGCAAUAUAAAAAAAAACGUACUGUUCUUUCCCCGGUUUUUCAGGCUUCGUCAAAAACCUGGUGUACCGAUUGUAACAGCCUCUGUGGUACUGCACCUCCAGAGCCACACAAUCUUUUAUAUGCAAAAGAAUACUUUGGUCUUCCUUCAACUCGGCAGCUUUCUGCAAUUGGCCUUAAUGAAACAAAAAGGAUGGCUCAAUGAGUUUGUUGACAUAUCUCACAUAUAAUUGAACCUUUCAGUCACUCAACCACAGUGUGUGUGUGUGUGUGCGUGUGUGUGUGUGUGUGUGUGUGUUUACCUGCUGUUAAUGUUUCAGCCAUGGACAAAGGAUCCCUUUUUCGAUGUCCUCCUCGGUAGAUAAACUUGUUCUCCUUUUUUUUUACAAAUUAUGCACAGGGCAGGAAGGACGGGCCCUGAGCCUGCGAUUGGCAGCCCUGACCUGGAUCGCAGUUUCUUUGUUGGACUCCUGCUGCUAGAAGUCGAUGGAAUGGCCUCGUGGUCUUCUGUGUCCUCGGGGUCUUCCGUAGCUUUUUGUCUCUCACGUGCAAGACGUCUUUCCACCUUUGCGAUGGCCUUUUUGUCCGUAAAUCUACGGUAGCACGUGUGAUGGAAUCCAGCUUCCUCGGGAAUAUUGUCAAACUCGACAUCAACACAGUGUUUAAAGUUCUCAGCCAGGUCCCGAGACUCACCCUCCAAACCGAGCCACUUCUGUAGGCUUGUCCUGUAUGCAUUCCAUCGUGCAGUGGUGAAACAAUUUACAUUCUCGUACUGGUUCGAAGUAAUAUGCAUAUAACAUGUAUAUUUUUGUUUGCUUUUCAAUGUUUUUAUGAGUUUUUUAUAACUCUUUGGUUCAUUAUCUUUGUCGUCCGUAGUGCUCGACGAAUGCAUGGUGACUGUUCGAGUGUUUUCCUCUAUUAUAUAUAUAUUAUAUAUAUAUAUCGUUCACGUUGGAUCUAACCACACGGGAGCCGCCAUUUUUCCAU